rnacentral:rRNA from 1 species
GAUGAACGCUAGCGGGAGGCCUAAUACAUGCAAGUCGAACGGUAAGGCUCCUUCGGGAGUACACGAGUGGCGAACGGGUGCGUAACGCGUACGAAACAUGCCUUUAUCUGGAGGAUAGCCCUGGGAAACUGGGAAUAAUACUCCAUAGUAUUAUAUUGCCGCAUGGUAUUUAUAAUUAAAGCUCCGGCGGAUAAAGAUUGUCGUGCGUCCCAUUAGCUAGUUGGUGAGGUAACUGCUCACCAAGGCGACGAUGGGUAGCUGGUUUGAGAGGAUGAUCAACCACACCGGUACUGAGACACGGACCAG